rnacentral:lncRNA from 1 species
GGUGUGCUCUUACCUCAGUCAUACUUCUUCUGAUGCCUUGAAAACUGUUGCAGACUGCUUCGCAUGGGCUGUUACGUGGUUGUUGUUGUCGCGUUGUUGCUGCUACAUCUCUAUUGCAACUUGCCAUGCUCGGUUGUAGAUGCAAGGACUAUGUGGUAUUGCUACAGGUUUUUGCUGCUAUUGUUUCUCUAUAUGAGUUGAGUGCAGUUUGAGGGCUUGCUUCAGGUGUUGCUCCUGGUUUGGCUCGUUGGUGCUGCUUUGAAAGGCUUGGUUUGGUUAUUGGUGCUGAUUCUAGAGACUGUGGGUCUGUUUCGGCUUUGCUGCCUACUUUGAAA